rnacentral:lncRNA from 1 species
AGGACAACCGGAGGCGAUUGACCGUUAUCUGCGGUUUGGAGCCGUUAGCGGGAGAGGCAGAGAUAUUCAGAGGUCUUUUAGGAUGCGCUAAAGGGUCGUGAGGGCUCUCUUAAAAUUUUCUUCACAAGCGGUUAUCCAGUCGUGCCCCGCGGCCCUGCUGCUGGCCCCGGGGAUCUGAGUCGUACCCUCUUGUUUUUCUCUGAGUCAGUCUUAAGGUGAAAUGAAGUGUGGCCCAGUGGCUCCUCACUGUCGCUUCUCUAGUUUUCUGCCUCCUUUUAGAAAAUGCUUUAAAUCUGUUUACAGUGAAUUGAAAAGACAGGAUGAAGUGGACACAGCAUGUGAAGACAAUUCUUUCAAGAAGUUUGGCUGUCAAGGAAAACAGAGAAUGUGCUAAAGAACAUACAGACACAGAGCAGACAGGCCACCUUUGCAACCACAUGGAGGUUUGUCUGAUAUUGAAGCUAAAGAAGCUAAGCUGGAAGACAGAGAGACCAAGUCCUGAUGACAUUGUUUGAACCCAGAGAUCCAGACAUGCCUGAAAACUAGUUUUACCACUGGACUUAUCCGUUGAAUGAGCCAAUAAACUCUCUUUUAUACUUAACCUUGGGUUUUACCUGGAUUUUUGUCAUUGACAGCUCAAAAUAUUCUAAUAUAGAAGUAUACAUCAUUAAA